rnacentral:sRNA from 1 species
AGAGCGUCUUCUCGGGCCUGGGCGGCGCAGACGAGGCCUGAGGCGGCGGCGGCGCGAGGCAGUAUGGUUUGAAGUGGUGAACAUGGAUUUUUCUCGGCUUCACAUGUACAGUCCUCCCCAGUGUGUGCCGGAGAACACGGGCUACACGUAUGCGCUCAGUUCCAGCUAUUCUUCAGAUGCUCUGGAUUUUGAGACGGAGCACAAAUUGGACCCUGUAUUUGAUUCUCCACGGAUGUCCCGCCGUAGUUUGCGCCUGGCCACGACAGCAUGCACCCUGGGGGAUGGUGAGGCUGUGGGUGCCAACAGCGGCACCAGCAGCGCUGUCUCCCUGAAGAACCGAGCGGCCAGAACAGCAAAACAGCGCAGAAGCACAAACAAAUCAGCUUUUAGUAUCAACCACGUGUCAAGGCAGGUCACAUCCUCUGGCGUCAGCCAUGGCGGCACUGUCAGCCUGCAGGAUGCUGUGACUCGACGGCCUCCUGUAUUGGACGAGUCUUGGAUUCGUGAACAGACUACAGUGGACCACUUCUGGGGCCAGGUGCUGUGUGUGCUGCCGUCUGUCUGUAUUUUCUU